UAGUUACCUCAAUGCUAGAUGUUACUCUUUUUCGCUGGAUCAACAAAUAUACAAAAUGGGCAAAGAAGCAUUCUAAUUUCUGCGGACAAUUUCAAACUCUCCAUUUUCCUCUAUGCGUUGUUAAGGUUUUUGUGAAGAUUCUUUUGUCGAUCAUCCCACUACUGCUAAAAUUUGGCUUAUUUUUGCCUUUCAUGGUGAAUUCUUUAAUUUGGUGGAUAUGUAUGAUUCGUAGCUGCGGCAAUUACUCUUGGUAAGGAAGCAAGAUCCAGAACAACAUAGAGUUUUUUUGGGGCUAAUCAGGAAGAGGACAUACAUCAAGAUUUGCAUAGCUCGCCACUUUUUAAUUUGUUAUUGACCAACCUCUUUUAGUCUAUUUUUUUUUCC